CACCUUGUGAGGAAGAUGCCUACUUCCCCUUCUGCCAUGAUGGGAGAAGAUGACUUUAGUCCCCCAGUGUCAAGGAUAACCAGCCGUUCAUAAGAUGAGAGUUGGAGCAACUGCUCUAAGGAAUCUGAAGACAAACAGGCUGGCGGAAAGGAAGUCACCUCCAGUGCUCUAAGUCAGAGCCUCUCUGAUUCGCCUGUCUCCAUUAUUGCACAGCACAUGAUGAGUCUGACUUUGAGAGAUAAGUUGGCCAAAGUGGAGGAAUGCCACAUGCCUAGGCCACUUUCUCUGCCUAACUUUCGAUCACUUACCAUGAACAAGCUGAAGAAACUUACUCCUCAAACUGGCCUUUGCUCAAGUUCAUAAAGCACUUCAAAGAAAGAAAAUGACUCCUGUAUAUGAAUGUUGUUGCAAUUAAUAACUGCCCAUUUUUUAUUUCUAAGCUAUCUUUAAUUUGGUGGUUGAGGCCUAUGAAUAUGCCCAAGAGAUCAUGAACAAGACACAAUUUCUGCCUUCAAGAACCUUAAAAUUGAAAAAUCACGACGAAAAAAAACAAAGCCCUCUGAUCUGGUUUGGAUUUGUGUCCCCACCCAAAUCUCAUGUCAAAUUGUGAUCCCCAGUGUUGGAGGAGGGUCCUGGUGGGAGUUGAUUAGAUCAUGAGGCGACAUCCCCCCUGCUGUUCUUGUGAUAAUGAGUAAGUUCUCACAAGAUCUGGUUGUUUAGAAAUGCGUAACAGCUCCCUUUUUGCCCUCUCCCUCCUGCUCUGGCCUGCUUUCCCUUCGCCUUUCGCCAUGAUUGUAAGUUUUCUGCAGCCUCCCCAGUCAUAUUCCCUGU
rnacentral:lncRNA from 10 species